GUGCGAUCUCAGCUCACUGCAACCUUCACCUCCUGGGAUCAAGCAAUUCUUAUGCCUCAGCCUCCUGAGUAACUGGGAUUACAGCACAAUUCCCUGAAAGGCUUCUUCUAAGCCUGGUAUCCUGGGAGUGGCAGUGUUUUCAGCGUGGCAGACGGAGCAGUCAGGAAGCUGGGAGCCCAAACAGCGUGAGACAAAGCCACAAAACAGAGGCCGCGCAUCAGUCGAAAGUGCUCCAGGUGCCUGUGGUCCGUAGAGUGGAGUGAGUCUCUAAGCAAAUCUGGAGGGACUCUGGGAGCUGAAGAUUCAGAAUAUCUCCACUUAUUCUUGCCAUAGCCUUUGUUGCUCAACUGUUGGGUGCCAUGAUGAUGAGGUCACUGAAAUACAGAGAAGUUCAUAAUUCAACCAAGUCUAUGCAGCUAAAAGGUGGCAGGACUACAAGUUGAACCUGGCAGUCUGUUUCCAAGCUCAUGCUCUUGACCCACAAGACAUUGCUUUGCAGGAUUCACAUUUGCCACCAUCUUACAGUUGGAGUCUCACUCUGUUGCCAGGCUGGAGUGCAGUGGUGCAAUCUCAGCUCAUCACAAACUCCGCCUCCCGGGUUCAAGUG